rnacentral:rRNA from 1 species
GUCCACGCCGUAAACGAUGGAUGCUAGCCGUCGGCAAGCUUGCUUGUCGGUGGCGCAGCUAACGCAUUAAGCAUCCCGCCUGGGGAGUACGGCCGCAAGGUUAAAACUCAAAGGAAUUGACGGGGGCCCCGCACAAGCGGUGGAGCAUGUGGUUUAAUUCGACGCAACGCGAAGAACCUUACCAGCUCUUGACAUUCACUGAUCGCCUGGGGAGACCUGGGAGUUCCAGCAAUGGACAGUGGGACAGGUGCUGCAUGGCUGUCGU